CGCCGGGAGAGCACGGGCGCCCUCUCGCGGCGCCGACGCGACGCGGUCAGCACCGGGGAUAGAGGCCUUCGCUCUCCUAGGAGAAAGGCCCGUUAGAGGAAGGGGAGAAACUGAGCGAGGCCACCGCCUCCACAGAGGCCCCCGGGGCACGCGGGCCAGGAGAGCCUAAGGCUUCAGGCAGGCCACCGCCUCACCCACGGGGAAACUGCGCGGCUAAGCAAAGCCCGACGCUCGCGGAGGGGGCGAUGUGUGGGAGAUCUGAGUUGUUGCUGUAGCAACCGUGUGAAGGAAUGAGAAAAAAACAAGGCAACAAAAAGCCCUCAGAGAUUCCCAACACUCCCAAAACAGAGUCAAAGGGCACUGAUGGAGCGGAAACACCAGGAUACAAGGCUAUUGGCUGGUGCCACCCACGUCCAAGGUGGGCCUUCCCUCUUCAGUAAGUCAGUCAUCCAGACACACCCAGAGCUGUGCUAAACCAACCUGCUAGGUGUUUCUUAUUCAAGUUGAUGCCACAAUUAACUAUCACAAAUGCUGGCAGUCAGACUGCGAAGACAGACUGCAGACCUGAGGAGGAAACUGUUGAUCUAAAACCACAAUUAGUUGCUGGUAAGACAGAGGCUGCAUCCACACCUUUGGAAUGCAGAUUUCAAAAAAUGCAUAGAAGAAAAUGAGGCCUAGGAAAAAAACUACUUGAAAUUUGGGAUCCAACUGCUUUCCCUCCAAAUUGAAUUAAAUAGUCAUCUCUUUGUAUACCAAACACCCUGAACUUAACUUCUUUCUUUGUGUAUGGCAUUGAAAUGUUUAGGCUUUUUUAGAUCUUAAAAU
rnacentral:lncRNA from 1 species